UACAGAGGUCUCAAGCGUUGUUCGGAUUCAUUGGGCGUAAAGGGUGUGUAGGUGGCGCGCUAAGUCGGGUGUGAAAUUUCGGAGCUUAACUCCGAAACUGCAUUCGAUACUGGCGUGCUUGAGGACUGGAGAGGAGACUGGAAUUCAUGGUGUAGCAGUGAAAUGCGUAGAGAUCAUGAGGAAGAUCAGUGGCGAAGGCGGGUCUCUGGACAGUUCCUGACACUGAGACACGAAGGCCAGGGGAGCAAACGGG
rnacentral:rRNA from 1 species